AUUAGAUACCCGUGGUAGUCCUAGCCGUAAACGAUACUCGCUAGGUGUCGGCCACGGUGCGACCGUUGUCGGUGCCGUAGGGAAGCCGUGAAGCGAGCCACCGUGGGAAGUACGGCCGCAAGGCUAGAAAACUUAAAAGGAAUUGGCGGGGGAGCACAACAACGGGUGGAGCUUGCGGUUUAAUUGGAUUCAACGCCGGAAAUCUUACCGGGACCGACAGCAACAUGAAGGCCAAGCUGAAGACUUUGCCGGAUUAGCUG
rnacentral:rRNA from 1 species